GCUUCAUUAACUCAGAGGAUAGAGUAUCCGUUUCCUAAACGGAUUGUCGAAGGUUCGAACCCUUCAUGGAGCA
rnacentral:tRNA from 4 species